CCUUUUGUAUGUGGGAUGCCUCCACAGCACGGCUGAUGAGUAGAGUAGGUCUGUGCUCAGGAUCCAAACAGUGAACCCGAGCUGCUGAAGCACAGCUCGUGGAACUUUAGCCUCUGGGACACAGGGCCGGCCUGGUUAAAUUUUUUUAAGUGUACAAAUUAUAGUGUCUGAAAUAGUUUGGUAGUCCCCUCUUAUCUACAGUUUCACUUACCAUUGUUUCAGUUACUCACAGUCAAUCACGGUCCAAAAAUAUUAAAUGGAAAAUUCCAGAAAUAAAUAAUAAGUUUUAAAUUGCUCACUGUUCUGAAUAGCACGAUGAAAUCUCUUGCUGUCCUGCUCCAUCUUGCCUGGGAUGUGAGUCAUCCCUUUGUCAAGCACAUCCACACUGUGUAUGCUAUCCAACCCACAGUCAUUUAGUAGUCACCUCUGUUAGCAGACAGACUGUCAUGAUAUCGCAGUGCUUGUGUUCAAGUAACCCUUAUUUUAACCCAGCCAUCAACACUGUCAUGGCCUGAUGAUCCAGGAUCACCCAAAGCAGCCGAUCCUCCUCCUGAUGUAUUGUCGGAAGGCCACCAGUAGCCUAACGCUGCAUCCUAAGGCCUACAUCAUUCCCCUCACUGCAUCUCAUCACAGAGGCACUGCAUCCUCUCACAUCGUCACAAGGAGAAAGGUCUUAAGUACCUGAUAAAACUGAAUGGACCAGGCCCAUGAACACAGCCAUAGAGCACCCGCUCGGAGGGCAGGACUCAGCUGCUCCACCUCUGGUGAACCCGCUCAACUGUCCCAGCCCUGUGCCUCUAUCUCAGCUCCAGGGACCCCACAGGACGCCUGUCCAAUGCCUUGUCUUUGCCAGAACAUGCUAUUUUCUUGUUCAAUGAAAUUAGUAUUCCUCUCAAAGGAGGAAAUUAUGUUAAUUAAACAUGUCUUCUACUUACUGACCCUA